AUGUCUACGUAAUCGCUCAAAUGAUUCAUUUGAGAGGAAAGUCCAUGCUCACACGAGCUGAGAUGCUCGUAGUGUUCGUGCUUGACGAAACCAUAAGUCAAGGUAGCUACAAUUAGGUAGCUAACGGCAGGGAAAUGGCCUAAGCUUUAAUAGUAUGGUCAGAUUACCUUUAAAGUGCCACAGUGACGAACUUAAUUGGAAACAAUUAAGGUGGAACGCGGUAAACCCCACGAGUGAGCAACCCAAAUUAUGGUAGGGGCACUUUUUGCAGGGAAUUCAACCUAGCAAAAAGACAAGUGAUCUUUCACUUGUAGAUAGAUGAUUACGCCUGGAGUACGAGGUUGACCGCCGUUAGCAGUACGAUAGGACAGAACAUGGCUUACAAGA
rnacentral:RNase_P_RNA from 1 species